GUGAGUCAUCGAAUCUUUGAACGCACCUUGCGCUCCUUGGUAUUCCGAGGAGCAUGCCUGUUUGAGUGUCAUUAAAUUCUCAACCUUACCAGCUUUUACGAGUUUUGGUAAUGGCUUGGAUGUGGGGGUCUUUUGCUGGCUUCAUCAAGAGGUCUGCUCCCCUUAAAUGCAUUAGUGGAAUCCUUUGUGGACCGUCACUUGGUGUGAUAAUUAUCUAUGCCAUCUUGACUUUGAAGCAAAACUUAUGGGAAUCCGCUCAUAACCGUCUUCGGACAAUCAUUGACAUUUUGACCUCAAAUC
rnacentral:misc_RNA from 1 species